GAACACAAAAGAAGAAGACCAAUGAAUGACACCGACGCAGAUUGAUCGUGUGAAGUUAUGUUUAAGUCUUUGAUUUCAGAACUGUAAUCUGUCUGUUUCAUACAUUCGAAAGCUGUCUUUUAUUCAGCAGCUUUGCACCAUCACAAUCUUGCCAAUUCAUAUUCCCCUAAAAGCAUGUGGGUUUACUUGAGUUGUAAAUACAGUUUCCUACAAACUAUGUACUUUAGAAAAAUUGUAUUCCAGUAAAGUAAAUCUUUCCCAAACUUACAAAUGAUGUGCAAUUACUCUAGUACUUUACACCCCUGGACUUCAGCUAUCAAAAGAGACUAGGCAAAUCUUUCAGGAGAUGUAUCAAGUGGUGUCAGGAAGGGUUUCAGAGACCCAGGAGCUGCUGAAGAAGCAUUUCGACCAAAUCUUCUACACUGGGAGCAGCGUGGCAAGGAAACCUAUUGGCUCUGUUUUUUCCUCUGUUAAAACUUUGUAUUAUUAUUAUUAACGAUUUUUGGAAGGCAAAAUAAAAGAAAGAUUUAA